rnacentral:lncRNA from 1 species
AAAUCUCUUGAUCUAUUUUUUAUAUAGCUGAGGAUGUGCAGCGGGAAUGCAUAUCCUUUAUGGCGGCAUCAAAUGCUGAUGUAUUGGUAGGACAUUUCUUUUUUCUCACAAAAAUAAACAACUUUCUUGUUAUGUUCAACAGGAUGAUUACAGUUCUCUUCCCCGAGAUGUUCAGAGUCUGAAUGACCUUGAAAAUUCAAGAGCGAAACUCUGAUACCACAACUUCCUCUUUCCUCCACUGUUUGUGUAUCAGCACACUUCUAGUUUGCUGCUGACCAGAUACUAUAGACCAUGGCUGAAUCCUCUGACUUACUCCUAUGGAGUUCAGUGAAAGCAAAAUGGAUCCAGGCAUCUAUCAUCUCCUACAAGGGAGUUUGGUAACAUCAGGAGGUGGCCAGGGCCUGCAGCAUUCCACAGACACAGAAACCUUCAUGGAAUUUUACCAGCAUCAGGAUUGAUUGCCAGCUUGAGGAUUCUCUAUUGGCAGCAGGUCCAAGAGGGACACCGCUUCUUUCUCUAGAUCCAGUGAAAGUGUACUACAGGCUGGCUCUGGAGGCAGCCCGACUGCUGCAGAAUCCUCAAAUCCCUCUCUCAGAAAUGGACUUGGUAGAAUCAUGGAGCGAUCCGUGUUCUGUAUUUAAUCUUAGAUCAUGAGAAAAAGUUAAAUACUGAAAUGGGAGGCUCAGAUAAAAGUAUUAGCAACACCAAGUAGCUCAAAAAUCAUGAGUUACCCCCCAUCCCCCAAAAUAUCAUGAGAUUGGUUUAAAAUAUGAGAUUUUUAAAUUAUAUAAUUUGGGGGUCCUUUUUAUUUGCUGCCUUGGAUUUUGAAUCCCUGGGCACGCUUGGCUCACAUUUUCUAGCUUUUCUCUUCCAGCAUGGGGGCUAGAAACUUAUUUUUAUUUUAAAUGAAAGCUGAGAUUCUUUCCUAAUCACAUGCCUCCAGGAGCAGGCGCUUUAAGAAGAACAUCAACUAUUGCAAGACUCACAAUAAAAUCACAAGCGUUGGCA